rnacentral:rRNA from 1 species
UACACUCCUACGGGAGGCAGCAGUGGGGAAUUUUGGACAAUGGGCGAAAGCCUGAUACAGCAAUGCCGCGUGUGUGAAGAAGGCCUUCGGGUUGUAAAGCACUUUUGUCCGGAAAGAAAUCCUUGGCUCUAAUACAGUCGGGGGAUGACGGUACCGGAAGAAUAAGCACCGGCUAACUACGUGCCAGCAGCCGCGGUAAUACGUAGGGUGCGAGCGUUAAUCGGAAUUACUGGGCGUAAAGCGUGCGCAGGCGGUUUGCUAAGACCGAUGUGAAAUCCCCGGGCUCAACCUGGGAACUGCAUUGGUGACUGGCAGGCUAGAGUAUGGCAGAGGGGGGUAGAAUUCCACGUGUAGCAGUGAAAUGCGUAGAGAUGUGGAGGAAUACCGAUGGCGAAGGCAGCCCCCUGGGCCAAUACUGACGCUCAUGCACGAAAGCGUGGGGAGCAAACAGGAUUAGAAACCCCUGUAGUCCC